AGAGUUUGAUCCUGGCUCAGGAUGAACGCUAGCGGGAGGCUUAAUACAUGCAAGUCGAACGGUAAGGCCCCUUCGGGGGUACACGAGUGGCGGACGGGUGAGUAACGCGUACGCAAUCUACCUCUAACUGAGGAAUAGCCCCGAGAAAUUGGGAUUAAUACCUCAUAAUAUCCAUCUUACGCAUGUUUGAUGGAUUAAAACUCCGGUGGUUAGAGAUGAGCGUGCGUCCCAUUAGCUUGUUGGUAAGGUAACGGCUUACCAAGGCAACGAUGGGUAGCUGGCGUGAGAGCGCGAUCAGCCACACGGGCACUGAGACACGGGCCCGACUCCUACGGGAGGCAGCAGUAGGGAAUAUUGGACAAUGGGCGAAAGCCUGAUCCAGCCAUCCCGCGUGCAGGAUGAAUGCCCUCUGGGUUGUAAACUGCUUUUCUCAGGGAAGAAACCCCUCGAUUCAUCGAGGGCUGACGGUACCUGAGGAAUAAGCACCGGCUAACUCCGUGCCAGCAGCCGCGGUAAUACGGAGGGUGCAAGCGUUAUCCGGAUUUACUGGGUUUAAAGGGUGCGUAGGCGGAUUUGUAAGUCAGUGGUGAAAGCCUGGAGCUCAACUCCGGAAUUGCCAUUGAUACUGCUUAUCUUGAGUACAGUUGAGGUGGGCGGAAUGCAGCAUGUAGCGGUGAAAUGCUUAGAUAUGCUGCAGAACACCAAUUGCGAAGGCAGCUCGCUAAACUGUAACUGACGCUGAGGCACGAAAGCGUGGGGAGCGAGCAGGAUUAGAUACCCUGGUAGUCCACGCCCUAAACGAUGAUCACUCGACAUUUGCGAUAUACUGUAAGUGUCCUAGCGAAAGCGUUAAGUGAUCCACCUGGGGAGUACGUUCGCAAGAAUGAAACUCAAAGGAAUUGACGGGGGUCCGCACAAGCGGAGGAGCAUGUGGUUUAAUUCGAUGAUACGCGAGGAACCUUACCUGGGCUAGAAUGCUUUUGGAUCGCUUGGGAAACCAGGCUUUCUCUUAGGAGACCGAUUGCAAGGUGCUGCAUGGUUGUCGUCAGCUCGUGCCGUGAGGUGUUGGGUUAAGUCCCGCAACGAGCGCAACCCCUAUCCUUAGUUGCCAUCAGGUUAUGCUGGGGACUCUAAGGAAACUGCCUACGCAAGUAGUGAGGAAGGAGGGGACGACGUCAAAUCAUCAUGGCCUUUAUGUCCAGGGCUACACACGUGCUACAAUGGCCAGUACAAAGGGUUGCUACCUGGUGACAGGAUGCUAAUCUCAAAAAGCUGGUCUCAGUUCGGAUUGGAGUCUGCAACUCGACUCCAUGAAGCUGGAUUCGCUAGUAAUCGCGCAUCAGUAAUGGCGCGGUGAAUACGUUCCCGGACCUUGUACACACCGCCCGUCAAGCCAUGGGAGCUGGGUGUACCUGAAGACGAUAACCGUAAGGAGUCGUCCAAGGUAAAACUAGUGACUGGGGCUAAGUCGUAACAAGGUA
rnacentral:rRNA from 1 species